rnacentral:rRNA from 1 species
GAUGAACGCUGGCGGCGUGCCUAAUACAUGCAAGUCGAGCGAACAGACGAGGAGCUUGCUCCUCUGACGUUAGCGGCAGACGGGUGAGUAACACGUGGAUAACCUACCUAUAAGACUGGGAUAACUUCGGGAAACCGGAGCUAAUACCGGAUAAUAUAUUGAACCGCAUGGUUCAAUAGUGAAAGACGGUUUUGCUGUCACUUGUAGAUGGAUCCGCGCCGCAUUAGCUAGUUGGUAAGGUAACGGCUUACCAAGGCAACGAUGCGUAGCCGACCUGAGAGGGUGAUCGGCCACACUGGAACUGAGACACGGUCCAGACUCCUACGGGAGGCAGCAGUAGGGAAUCUUCCGCAAUGGGCGAAAGCCUGACGGAGCAACGCCGCGUGAGUGAUGAAGGUCUUCGGAUCGUAAAACUCUGUUAUUAGGGAAGAACAAAUGUGUAAGUAACUAUGCACGUCUUGACGGUACCUAAUCAGAAAGCCACGGCUAACUACGUG